GGGCGCGAGUGCGCCGGGGGCGCUGGGGGGCUCUGCGGCGGGCGGCGCGCGGCCCCGGGCGCGGCGCGGAGCGGAGCUGCAGGGCGGCGGCGGGAGCGCGGGGCGCAAGAGCCGCUCCGCCGGGAGUGCCGGGGAAGUUCGCGCUGGCAGCAUGGGGCGGUGACGCCGCACCGGCCUUCCGCGCCUGCCAGCCGGGCGAGAGCAGGCGGAGGAGAAGGAAGAUGCAUCCUCACCGACGGCUCGCCUCCCGGGGCCGGCGCGCAGGUGCCUUGCAGAGAGAGGAGUAGCUUGCUGGCUUUGAACGCGUGGCGUGGCAGAUAUUUCAGAAAGCUUCAAGAACAAGCUGGAGAAGGGAAGAGUUAUUCCUCCAUAUUCACCUGCUUCAACUACUAUUCUUAUUGGGAAUGGACAAUGGAAUGUUCUCUGGUUUUAUCAUGAUCAAAAACCUCCUUCUCUUUUGUAUUUCCAUGAACUUAUCCAGUCACUUUGGAAAUGACGCCACAACU
rnacentral:sRNA from 1 species